GUUUCUGUAGUGUAGUGGUUAUCAAGUUUGUUCACACGAGAAAGGUCCCUGGUUCGAAACCUGGCGGAAACA
rnacentral:tRNA from 1 species